AACGAACGCUGGCGGCAGGCUUAACACAUGCAAGUCGAGCGCCCCGCUAGGGGAGCGGCAGACGGGUGAGUAACGCGUGGGAAUCUACCCAUCUCUACGGAAUAACGCAUGGAAACGUGUGCUAAUACCGUAUACGUCCUUCGGGAGAAAGAUUUAUCGGAGAUGGAUGAGCCCGCAUUGGAUUAGCUAGUUGGUGGGGUAAAGGCCUACCAAGGCGACGAUCCAUAGCUGGUCUGAGAGGGUGAUCAGCCACACUGGGACUGAGACACGGCCCAGACUCCUACGGGAGGCAGCAGUGGGGAAUAUUGGACAAUGGGCGCAAGCCUGAUCCAGCCAUGCCGCGUGAGUGAUGAAGGCCCUAGGGUUGUAAAGCUCUUUCACCGGUGAAGAUAAUGACGGUAACCGGAGAAGAAGCCCCGGCUAACUUCGUGCCAGCCGCCGCAGUAAUAC
rnacentral:rRNA from 1 species